rnacentral:misc_RNA from 1 species
AUACGUAAUGUGAAUUGCAGAAUUCAGCGAACCAUCGAAUCUUUGAACGCACAUUGCGCCCGCCAGCAUUCUGGCGGGCAUGCCUGUCCGAGCGUCAUUUCCCCCCUCACGCGCCCCGUUGCGCGCUGGUGUUGGGGCGCCCUCCGCCUGGCGGGGGGCCCCCGAAAGCGAGUGGCGGGCCCUGUGGAAGGCUCCGAGCGCAGUACCGAACGCAUGUUCUCCCCUCGCUCCGGACGCCCCCCAGGCGCCCUGCCGUGAAAACGCGCAUGACGCGCAGCUCUUUUUACAAGGUU